AAUUACAGUAGAAAUGUCGAAGAAUCCGAUAAUUGCUCAAAGUUGGGAAAAAGAAAGAAGAAAACGUUAAAGUUGGAAAAUCGGGACAGCUGGAAAGAAAUUUCUCAGUGAGGAAGAUGAUCCGACGAAUUCAAUGAAAUAGCGAUUAAAUUUCACUCGAAAGAAUCUUGAUCUCGUCGAAAACGUACGUCGUUAACGCGUCAUCCGUUUGCCGCUUCAAAUUAAAUAUCACCGUUUCCGGCGAGAAUCGAGAAAUUAAGAAAUAAUUAACGAAAUCGUGGCCAUCGUCGAUUUUUACCGACAAUGACGGGCGAUGCGCAAAAAAAUUACGCAACUGGACGCGCAUCCGGACAAGUCGUUGGUACGGCACGACAGCUUUCGCCGUUGUAAAAAAAGAGAAGAGAGGAAAGGGAACGAAUAUGGAAAGACGCGAGGAGAGAGGGGGGCAGAGAGAAUCGAGAAAUUUAAAUUGAUAAGCGGUGAAAGGGAUUCCGCGCAAAGACCCUCCUCCCUUCCCUCCCCUCCCUCUCCCCUGAUAACUCUGCCCGCAGAAACCCUCGAAAUCCCACCCACGUAAUAAACAACGCGAAAGGAGAAAUCGAUCAUUCUCACGAUCUCGUCCAACAAGGUUACGUCUCGCGGCGGACGUAUUGGUCAACGUUUCUUCGUAAAGUUGCUGGCAUAAAUCAUGACCGGCCAUUUUAUCUACCAGCGGGACAGCUCUUUAAAACUUGCAACAGCACAUCGAGUUGCUCCGAGUGCAUCAUCGUUGCGCGUAGGUGGAUGCUCGAGACAGCAACAAAUGCGUUGUUGUAGAAAUUUUCUGCUUCGCUUUCGAACCGAGCGGGGAAUAAUAAAAAUAAAAACAAAGAGACAGACAGAGAGAGAGAGAGAGAGAGAGAAAUUAUGAGUAAUCACAGUUUCGUGAGCGGCAAAAAAUUUUUUCCAAUUCUCAGAAUCUCGAAGAGGAGAGAAACGAAAAUCCCCUCGCAGAUUCGUUAAAACAGCUGGAACACGUGGUUCGAUAGUUUUGCUACAUGUGCAUAUGCAAGAUAUAUCGAAGAGAAGGGGCGCGAUAUAGUUGCCCCACGGUUCGUUUAUGUAUAUUUACGCGACACGUGUAAUUACGUUGCACCACCAGUCGGAGCUUGUUUUUUGCCAAGCCAAAAUCGAGGACCUCCCUCGAUAGUAACGAGGCCUCCAUCUCUGCACAGUGUCUCGUCGAAAAUUCGAAUUUAUAUCUCGCCUUCUCGUUCCUUUGCGACAGAGAGAGAGAGAGAGAAAGGUUAAAACGCGACGCGUUGAUGAUUCUUGUGUGAGAUAUUCUUCCUUUCUCUCUUUCCCUCUUUCCUUCAAGUUGAGCGAGGGAUAAUUCGAAGCGAAGAGAAAUUGAUCGUUUCGGUCUGGUUGCCAGGGAAAUUCCAUAUUACUUGCGGAAAAGAUGAUAUUCGAAUAAUAAAACUGUUGGCGAGCUAUUGAUUAAAUUUAUAUAUAUAUAUAUAUCGUUAAAUGGGGAUCCAUUCGUUUCUAUUUUUAUAUUCUAUUUCGUAGGAGCGAGAAAUGUGGACGUUGAGGAUUUGGGAAAAUUGGGGGAGAAGCGUUUCUCUUUUUUUUUUUUCAUUCAUAAUAAAGAAGGGGAUAAAGAUAAGUGAAAAGGAAGAUAAAAUUCUUCAUUGAGAAGCGAGAUAAAACAACGUUUAUUUGGAAACUAAUGCGAAAUUAAUCUCGAAUAACAUCGUUUCUUAUCUAUAUAUAAAUAUAUAUAUAUAUAUAGAGAGAGAGAGAGAGAAGGACGCAAUUUCGUUUCAAAUAAAAUAAAACUCGAGAAUCGUGACUAAUUACGCACAUUUUUUUUCUUUUUUUUUUUUUUUUUAUUUCAUCGAAAUUAAAACGAAAUAGUUUAUUAUCGAAUCAAUUCCGCGCGGAACUUAAUUUACACACUUUAUUCCCCCAUCGAUAAAUCGCCCCAUUUCGAGAAUUUCAAUGAAUGAAGACGAUUAAUUGGGGAAAAUUGGGGCCGAUCUCCGUUGCGAAACAAAUUACGAUAAAACGCGAGUUAUGUAUUUCCACGUGCAGAGUAUAUCGAUCGAUAUUUAUUUUUCUUUUCGUCCCAGAAUAUAAUUGGCAUCACCGUUCCGUUACGUUAUUUAACCUUCCUUCUCGUGGAAAAUUUGGAAAAACUUUUUCUCUUUCAUUAUCCCUCACGUUCCUUUCUUCUCUCCCCUUUUUUUUUCAAAUAUCAAUUUCCUCUCGAUGGAAUCUAUCCAUGCGCCAUUAAUCCCGAUUAGAUUAAUCCCCCCAAAAAAAAAAGAAAAAAAAGAAAUCAUCCCGAAGGAUAAGCGAGUAGUUCGAGAUUUUGGAGUAGCGGAGAGUAUUCGAUUUUCUUCGUUACACGAUACGUCCGCGAGAUAAUCCACGCUCCGUUGAAAAACAGACGAUGGGAAACAGGCGUACGGAGAUAAUAAAGGGUCAAUGCCUCUUUCAUACGCCUCGUCGUAAUUAAUUCCUCGCUCUCGAAAUACUCGGUCGGAAAAUACUAUUGAAAGAAACCGAAAUCGUGUGUGUAUACACACACACACACGUAUAAAUAUAUACAUACACGAGCUGUCACGAUCCCGCCCAUUCAUAAGUUGACGCAGCACGACGAUAACGAGCUGAUAACCAACAGCGGAUCGGUGCCUCGUGCCUCGUCCCUCCUAACUUUCUUAUCGGGUCCGCCACCGACGACCGAUUUCUCGAUGGGUACGCGCCUCGAAUUGAAAUUGCGCCUCGAAUUUCGAAUUGGAAGGAGAAGAAAGGGAUUCGAUUCGAUUCGAAGAGGGAUGGAAACGGAAAGGUGAAGAGAACAGAAGGUGAGAGGGGCAGGGGUUAAGGGUGAGAGAGUCGACGAUAAUAAGUUUAUCGGUUGUACAACAGUCGCGUGUAAUCUUAUGCACGUAACACGGGUACGUGUUAUUCGACGCUCUGUUUGCAAAUGACCUUCGAAUUAUUUUCAGCAAUUUGCGAUUCCUCGAGGAAUCUCCCGCAAUGAUCGGUAGAAAAAUUAAAAAAUUGUUAAAUACCUUCGUCCAAUACUUUCCGAUCAAUCCGAUAUUACAACCGUGCCGUGGUUAACACAUAUAUAUAUAUAUACACACAGCGGCAAACAGUUUCCAAGUAAACAGGUUUAAGUCGGUUUGAAUUAUUAAUGGCCAUAAGAUAAAUAGUCGUGUAUAUACGUAUUUAACGUGUAUUUAUAAUUUUUUCCUUCUUUUUCUUUUUUUUUAUAAAUAUCCUAUCGCGUACAAUUCGAAGAAUGUCGAGAGACAUUGAUUCGUAUAAAGAGAGAGAGAGAGAGAGAAUCAACGCGUACGCGUCAAAUAUAUUAUUAUUCCCGUUGGAAAAUCGAGAAACUUUUCCCUUUUCUCGAAAAAAAAUUCCAAAUUCUUCAAUACGCAACAUUUCUUCCGAAGAAAUGGACAAAUGGAUAAAGUUGAACGUGAUGUAAAAAAGAGAAAGAAAAGAAAAAAACACUAGAUUUUAAAUUCGUUUUAAAAUUAUUAACGGUCGGCGUGCGGGACAGGUAGUCGUAAAUUCGAGCGAGGCAGUUAAUAAUAUUCCGUGUACGAAUUGGCAAAUUGACGCGCGGAGGCAAAACAACGGGUCUUGCUAGAUAUUCAACCAAUCUAGUAGGAGCGAAGGAGAAGGAGAAUCGGGUACGCGAGAGACAGAAAAAGAAAGAAAAGAAAGAAAGAAAGAAAAGAGAGAAAAAGGAUGGACGAUUCUCGUCGACGGAUUUCACGAUAUGUUGCAAAGUUAAUUAACGCAUCGGGGGAGCAGGUUGGCAUGCAGCACGUAGGCUGGUUCCUAGCACGAAAAGUAUGCCAGCCAGAGAGGCGGCCCAGGGCCGAAUACGUACACGUCGCAGUUGCACGGGAGGAACUACGUUGUGUUGUUUCAUCAUCAUUGUGAUGGACGUGCGCGUGUAUAUUUUCGGUGGGACGGCGAACGCAUCGACAUCUCGCGGCAAUAUUUAAGCCCUAUCCUAUGUAUGAAUAUGCAACUUUCGAACACUCGUCACGCGUCCAUGAAAUUUCAACGGUCUAACGUCAUCUUUUUUUUACGAUCUCCGCCCGUGCGACGCGUGCGAGAAUGUAGAUGUCGUGCAACGUCUUACAACCUAAUACAGAUUUCGACAGUGCCGGUAGAGGGACUGACUUCUCUUGCCUUUUACGACCUUCGCGCCGUUUACGACCACCACGAAUUCUCUACGUCUUUCUCCAUUGUCCGGAAUUUUAAAUUGUUUUAAAUUGUUCGUUCUAUCGUUUCCUCGUCGUACGAACAAUUUAUCGGAUACGAGUUAGAAUGAGAGAGGGGAGGGGGAAGGGGAAAAAAGUUCAUCGCACGGAAAUAUAUUCUUCGGAUAUAUUGAUUUAUGGGUUACAGCUCUUUGCCCAACGUUGCAAAAUCUUCGAUACGCAUAUUUCGAAUACUUUGCCGCGCAAAUUUGUAAUCCCUUUCGUAAUCUGCUCGCUCGUACGAAAAGAGAAUUUUAAAUAAAUUUCUGUUCGUUCUAACGUUCCUCGUGAUACGAACAAUCGUUUUAAAUUACGAACGAUAAAAGAAAAAAAAAAGAUAAAUAAAUAAAGAAAUAAUAAUAAUAAUAAUAACGAUAAGAAAAGAGUCACUUUUAUUACAUCCACGAUGCGUUUCAUUUACACUGUUGCAAAAUCUCCAAAGUCUGAGAUAUUUCAACUUUGAUAAUGCGUACAAAUUUGCCCUUUCAUAAUCUACUCGUUCAAAUAUAAAACGAGAAAGAGAGAGAGAGAGAGAACGGUAUAAAGUAAAUUUCACCCCAAGAUAAUUCGCCCCGCGAACCCAUAAAACCCAAGAUAAACCCACCUUUUUACGGCCAACCUUCUUAUCAAAGAUCAAACCGAAAGAAAAAGAAAAAGAAAAAAAAAAGGAGAAAGUACUUUCGGAAUCUCGUAGCACAAAAAGUUCAACAUUAUAUCGCGGUAUUAUUUUCUCACGUAAUCCAUUUCCGGUCUCUUUUAUCGACGCAACCACGACAAAGAAAAGAGCAAGAGAGAGAAAAAAUAAUAUUUACACGAGAUAUCCUCAUAUGAAAAAGAAGAAAAAAAUGACGACGAAGCGCAAAAAAGAGGAGCGCUUACUUUUCCACUGCAGAGGGGAGGGGAGGAUCAUCUUGUUCCACUGAUUGUGCCGCCCCGUUUCCUUGCCAAGAUCGCAUACAUAAAUGUUUACGAGGCCGUGAUUUUUACGAUUUACGCGGCCAAGUCGAUGACACUUUCCAUUGUCCAAACGCGCGAAGAGGAGAAGAAGAAGAAGAAGAAGAAGAAACAGGAAGUUGGAAGUGAGACGGGAGGAACGGAGCAAAUACCGUUUGAAAGAACGUCAACAGCUGACUCACGGCGAGCCAAGCGUUGUGUGUUAACCGGACCAUAAUUAGAUGGACAUGACGUUGUAACCUCGUAUCGAAACUUUCCAGCCUGGGAAUCCGAGAACGUUCCUCCUUCACCCGAAAUACGAUUAUAAUUCGAUCGUUCGUUCGUUAUCGUCCGUUGAUGGAAAUUUUAGUUAUUAACGAAAGGACAGUUUCGAGAAAUUAAAAAAUUUUGUAAGGAGAAAAGGUGGCGUAACGAUGUGGAAUUAAUAUGGAGAUACGAGAGGCGAGAACGAAAAUUCCGAUCGCGUAAUAAACGUUAUUAAAAACAUUCGAAACGAGUGGUUCCGCAUUUUCGAUUCGAUUCGAUUCGAUUCGAAAAUCAGACAUUUCGAUGAUAACGUUGUAACGAUAAUGAUGGCCGAAGCAACAAUAAUUAUUCGACUCGGUAAAUUGCGAUCCCGAGCGUAUUAAACGCGAAAUAUUCUGUAAUUAAUUAAACGAACAAGGUACGGAUUGAUUAAGCAAUUAAUUUGGCUGGUAUCAUCGGGAACGAGCCCGAUAUCGAUGCAAUUAAAAUCCACCAGUGAAAUUGGAAACAAUGUUCGUUGGAUUAUAGUGGACGAGGGGUGGGGGGAUGUUAAUUAGCAGUCGUAAAAAAAAAAGGAAAAAAAUAAAAAAAGAAGAAAAGAAAAAUAUGUAUAUCCCCGCGUAUUUAACCACGCGACGAACAGGUGACCGUGGAAUGAAAUAUACGCCUCGUAACGAUAUAAUUAGUUUAAUCAUAAUUAUAGGUUGUCGCCCGAUGAUAUACGCGCCGUUUUUACUAUUGCACGGCCGUGCGAGAUUACGCGGUAGAAACGUUACCUUAAACGAUGAAUCGAGAAAAAGGAUGAGGAGCUUGUUAACGUCUAUGGAAAAUUGUGCGCGAUGCACACAAAUCGUCAAGGUAAAUUUAUCUCCAACAAAUUUUCGUUAAUAAUCGCAUUUAACUCUUCGAACAUAUAUAUAUAUAUAUAUACAUGUAUGCUAUAUCGAUCGAGUCCUUUUCCUUCCUUUUCUUAAAAAAAAAAAGAAAAAGAAACAAAAUUCAAGAAUAAAUCAUGGACGAUUUCGAUUUCAUCGAGGAACGUAUUACUACUAACUUUCUACGGGGAAGAAAUUCUUCUUCUUCUUCUUUUUUUUUCUUCUUUUUCGGGCCUCUAUCUCGAAACGAGGACACGGCCGGUUUAGCGAGACGCGCGAAAGCAAGGCAAGAGCGGAGAGCCGGGAGGAGGAGAUAAGGCUGGAUUAUUUCUAGAAGCACGAAUUAUAGCGUUGAGGCGCGUAAACAACGAUCACCGCGUGGUAAAUAAACGCGGAGUUAGACGAGGAUAGAGAGAUCCGCGAUUUGUGGGUCAGGACGCGCACAGGUGGCGUCCCGCGGCGUCGCGCGGCGAUCGAUAAGGGGGAAGGGGAAGGAAAAGGGGGGGCCGAAAAUUGGUUGCAUCGUCGCGCCGCUAGGAGCACUGGGCUCCUCCUUUCUCGUUGGACAAAGGUUAACGAGGGACGACGCGGAAAACGGGCGAUAUAUUCGGCCCUCGUCGCAACAACAACACGCGACGAUCGAUCCACGAGAAUGGCGCGCGUUUACCCCCUCUCCCUGCCGUUUUCGUUUAUCAUACGUACCCUUCCAAACGGGUGCAUACGUAACGUGACGUAAGGAGAAUGAUUCGAGCGUCGCUUUUUUUACGCCCAUAUAAUUUUCCAAUUAUAUACUUUCUUCUCCUAAGAAACGUUGCACAGGCAACGUUUUUUCUUUUAUCAUCGCGCGUAUUACUUUCGGACGACGAGAAGUAAAGUUCACGUCCUCGGCGCGUGAAAGUGAUGCAUUCUCUCUCUAUCGCGGAGGAAAGAAGAAAGAAAGAAGACGCGCCUAUAGAAAUGCGAGCUCUUUCGUCCAAAUUAGUAUCCAUUAAACUACAACUUCUCCUUCGCUUCCUUGGUAUCCCCACGCAAGUAGAUCGACUUUCACCGCCUCUGUCUCUCCACCGAUAAUGUGGAACAAUACCGGGUUCCACAGUUUCUUCCUUUUUUCUUCCAAUUUUUCCCUUCCAGGGAAGGAAGCGAGCAAGUGGAUGGCAAUAAAAGUGGAAUAACGAAAAUCCAACGGGUUUCCUUCCCCCAUUCGAGGAGAAUUUUUCCUUCGGGGGCGAUGAGAUGCGCGGAGAGGAGCCGUAAAGAGAAGCAACAGGCGUCAUCCGAGAGACGGUCUGAGCAUCAGCUACACGAACGAUACGAAAGAUUCGAUAAGUCGUAUAUGCGAGAAUUCGGCUGCGUUCGAUCGUGAUCCCAUCGAUAGCCUGUUGGGAGGGUCGAUUAAUUCCGCUAGAAUUCCCGUAGAAUUCGUGCGUGGGUGGAAUUAGUUUAGCCGGCCGAUUAAUCGUAUCGGUAACUCGAGACCUUCUACCCGCGAAUCUACCCGUCGUCUCGAGAGACGACGCAUAAAUUCAAUUCUAUCCAAUUCGAGGCUUUGUGUAUUAACCUGUUCAUUAACGAAGGUUAAACGAAUACGAACGUGAAACGAAUUUUCUCAAAUGAAUACAAAUUGUUAAUUCUCUUUCUUCUAUAUUAAUUAUAUAUAAAUACGAAUCUGCAAAAUGGGUGAUCGAUUGGAAAACUGGCGGAAUAGGUAAGCGUAACCGAUCCUAAAUACGCGCAAUGCGUAUCUGCAUAACCGGAUCGGCCGAUUUGAAUGAUUAUCGAGCCCCGCAUAUAAUAGGAGGUCGGUUAAAUACUCUCGGUAUCAGAGGUUAAUGACUUAUGGAAAUUUCUCGCAGGGUCGCAUUGUCGCAGCAACGUUCGUGUCGCCUCCUCGCCCUUCUCGACAAUUUCGAUUUCACGAUCGACCAAUUUUCUUUCCGCCUAUCUUUCGGGAGGAAACGAAUUCGUGGGAUCACGGAGGGUAUUUUACGACGGAGAGACCGUGAGAAUGAUCGAAGACGAGUUUUCGAGUAACCCGUAGGCGACUCGCUCGUGAGAGAGAAUAUUAAGCCCGUUUUAAAUGCUCGGGGGCCCACACGUCGCCGCACCAAAUUACGCGUGUCACAAGAGAUUCGAGAGACCAUUUUCUCGCUCUUUUCCUCUCCAGAGAGAGAGAGAGAGAGAGCUUACGUUGCCGGCACGAACACUUGGGGAAGAGUUCAAGAUGUUGUUUACGAGGCGAUAGAUCCCUCUCUCAGUCUUAUAUGGCCACGUGUUCGAGAGACGCGUGUGUCCUUUUCGGUCGAUUUUAUUUAGCCACGAUGCACGGAGUUGAUUCACUCGGAUCUAUGAACAGUAAAGGCUGGCUUCGGGAGCCAACAAGGGAGGCCGGUACAUUAUUCGACUGGAUCCUCCUUCCGUUCCAUUUAAAUAUUUUCGAAUAUUGAUGGAUGGAGGAAGGAAUAGAAAGUGAGAAAUUAUGUUGAAUUUAUUAAUUAGGUAAGAAGAAAGAUUAGGUAAAAUAGUAGCAAUGUGAGUAAUAAGUACAAAGAGGUUAUUUUUCUUACGUAUUGUGAUAUGUAUCUUCAGGGAAUAAUAAUAAAAAGUAAACAGAGGGAUAUAACGAUUUUUGUUCUACGAUUAUUGUUGUAUCAUAUAAAUGUAAAUUAUAGGAUGGAUGUAAUAUAAUUAUUUUUUUCUUUUUUAUGUAAGAAAUAGGUAACGAUAUCAAGGACAAUUUCGUUUAUUUUCAACCGUUGGAAUGUAGAUUUCCCUUUAACAGUCGAGGACCGAGAGAAGUUCGAAAUAAAAUGUGUUUACCGUUACUCGGUUUUUCCGCAUUGCGAUGCUCGGCCAGACUAGAGAACGUGUCGUACGUUGGUUUUACACACCGUUUCUCGAACGAAAACGGUGCGAACGUCCUUUGUUUCGUGAAUUUUCAGACAAAUGACCUAUUUUUCAAAUAGGAAAAAAGAUGAGAAUUUCGCUCAAACUCGUGCAAAUUUAUUAUUACACAGAGUCAAGAAAAUAUAAUAUUAUUUUUUUAUUUUUCCCACAGAAAUGAACGCCCGUAUAUUUUUCUCAUAAAUUAUAUCAUUUUGAUUGUCUUACAAACAAACUUGUAAACUUGGGUACGAUAAAGAAAACAACGGGGUAAAAAGAAAAAAGGAAUACUCUGAAAAUUAAUUAAUUAAUAAUAAAAUAAGCUAAAUUCAAAAAAUAUAAUUUUUUUAAUUAAAUGUUUCUUCGAAUCUUAAAAAAUUCCAUGUGUAAUUGGCCACAAAAUUUCGAACAGCUCUUUCGAAACGCGUACGAAAAAGUUGGAAAACCAAUAUGAUUUCUUCUUUUUAUUAACUUGGACGAUUUUUAACGCGCGUCACAAUUGCAAACGAUUCGAAUCGAAUUGGUUAAUCAUCCAUGGGGUGAUCGCAAGAAGAGCGCCAUUGGAGAGACGAUAAUUGGACGUCACUUUCAUCGUCCUUGAACGUAACAAUUUCGUUUCCCAUUCGCUGAAGUUACCUUAGAUGACGGGGCACAGUUGCACGGAGGAAAUUUCCACUUUUCCAAUGGGCGAACAUGGAAUAGCACGGUGAAUGGAUAUUUCCACUACGCCACUUUCGUUUUCGAUUAGUUUGUUACUAGUUGUUGGCCGCCUGAUAACACGAAUACCACGCAUGCUAUUGACUGGGAGCAAAGUCGUGGAAUUAUGAAAACGCUAUUCAUUCACUCGUUUAAGAAAAAUAUUCGAGAUAAGCCGCGGUGAUUAUAAAUCUAAUAAAUAGUGGUAGUAUAUUAGAAAAAUAUUUGAUGAUAAAUCGAUAAUCGUUAUCCGCUAAACAAAUAUUAUUUUUAUUUUACAAAAUAAAAAUUAAACGAUUCACAACUUAGAGCUCUUUAUUUAUCAGAUUUAAUAUUGCUCACGGGAUAAAAAUACGGGAUACAGAUAUAAAAUUGACGAGAAGAAUUGGAUCAAGUACUAUAUUUAGAAAAAUACUUUUUCUAAUAUCGAUUUUCAUUUCUAUGAGAGAAUAAUGAAUCGAUAGGGAAUAAUAAAAAUCGAAGAAAUUGCAUCAUGGUCAACGAUAACGUUAUCGGGACGAGGUAUUCGUUUUUUGUUUUUUCUUCUUUUUUUUUUUUUUUAUCACGGCGUCAAAUUUUUUAAAUCGAUUUGCGUAACGUUACGUAAACGCGACCGCGCUAUUAAAAAUCCGCCUUUGGCGUUCGUUCCAUGUUUUUCCACACGAAACAUCGAUAGUUCUUUAUCGAUAGAUCUCGUUCUGCAUCGCCCGACCGAACAGCGCCCCCGCCAAGCGCGCCAGACCGCGGCACUAACGAGAUCAUCAUAACAGUGACAGACACGGCGACGGAGCCCUUGAAACUGAACUAAAUAUCGGCGUCGUCCACGUUUCCGUUCCACCAUCUCGCCACGAUGUUUUCUCGCGAUCGUUAUCGAGUUCCGGCACACUCUCCGAUUAGCUCGUUUGUAUUUCUUUUUCACCGGUCGCGACACGUCGUCGUUAUUUUUAGACCAAAGACUGAUUACCGGAGGCUGAGAUAAUGGGGCCGCCGAUCGGACGUAACGACGACGCGAGUACACAUUCACGAACGAAAAAUAUACGCGGAAAAAUAUUUUGGCAUUUACGUUAUAUAGGGAAAUAUUUUCUAAACUCGUCGCCUCUUUAUCUUCGAAUUAUUACGUAAUCCGGUAUAUUUUACGAUGCGGCGUCGUCCACAAUGGCCGAAACUUUUCGCGCUUUUUUUCCCUUUACGCUACAGCCCUCUGUACUCGAGUGGCAAACUUAACGCGGUCGGCCAUAUUUACUCGGCAUCCGAACGAAAUUCUGGCAGCCAGGCAAGAGGAUGCCCGAUAGAACGAUCUACGAUAAGAAUUUUGUUUACGAGAGAAACCUUUAUCGAAAAACCUACCUAGUAGAACUUUUUAAAUGUUCUCCUUUAUACUUGGCAACGUGUUCCACCCACCAAGUGGCCAAUUUUCUAGGAUUAAUCGCCACUUUGAGAAUCCCAUCGCGAAGACUCCCGAUGGAUAUUCCGGCCAAAUCCAUAACCAAAGCGUAACCCAAUUUUUCUGCAAACGAUAAUAAAUUGUAUCUCAAACCUUGUGCCGCGUUUCCAUCGUGGUCACAGAAAACGGGCAAAACGAGGGUGGGAGCGGCGUGAUAAGCGGCCUCGUGCAGAGACAGAAGUCCACCGUGGGAGACAAACGCUCGAAGCUUCGGAUGGCCUAAUAGCUCUUG
rnacentral:lncRNA from 1 species